AGCGAACGCUGGCGGCAUGCUUAACACAUGCAAGUCGCACGAAGGUUUCGGGCCUUAGUGGCGGGACGGGUGAGUAACGCGUAGGUAUCUAUCCAUGGGUGGGGGAUAACACUGGGAAACUGGUGCUAAUACCGCAUGACACCUGAGGGUCAAAGGCGUAAGUCGCCUGUGGAGGAGCCUGCGUUUGAUUAGCUAGUUGGUGGGGUAAAGGCCUACCAAGGCGAUGAUCAAUAGCUGGUUUGAGAGGAUGAUCAGCCACACUGGGACUGAGACACGGCCCAG
rnacentral:rRNA from 1 species